UUUUUUUAGGGAAGCACCUGCGACAUAUGGAGAUUCCCAGGCUAGGGGUUGAAUUGGAGCUGUAGCUGCUGGCUUACACCACAGCCACAGCAAUGUGGGAUCCAAGGCACAUCUGUGACCUACACCACAGCUCAUCAGCAAUGCUAGAUCCUUAACCAAUGUGCAAAGCCAGGGAUCAAACUUGCAUCUUCAUGGACAUUAGCUGGAUUCAUUUCUGCUGCUCCACAAUGGGAACUCCCAUCUUUCAUUUUAUUAAUAUGUUUCUAACAGGCUCUAGCCCUUAGUCAAUUACCUUUCCUUUCAAAAUCAGUUGAAUAGAAUGAAACACUAUGAAUGUCAGUUAAUACCUUAAACUUAUUUCUAACAUUCGGGAGGAAUUUGAAGUUCUAACAGUACUUACCAACAGCCUCUCCAUGAUUUGUGAAAAACUUCUAACAUUAGACACUGGUAUCCAUAGUUCAUAACAUUGCUUCCAAUCCUCUAAUGUAAAACCUGUACAUCCUGGAAAUAUGGUUUAAUGAUGCUAUAUUUUGAGAUCAAUUGUGAAAAUAGAGAAAAAGAACAAAUUGGUAGGAAGCUUUAUCUUAAAAUUACAUGAUAUAAUCAAUCAAAGCUCUUGUACUUAACCAUGAGUUUGUAAGCUAAUAUAACUUUUUUUUUUUUGGCCAUACCCAUGGCAUGUGGAAGUUCCCAGGCCAGGGAUUGAAUCUGCUCCACAUCAGUGACCCAUCUGGCUUGGGUCAAUGACAAUGUAAGAUCGUUAACCCACUGUGCCACAAGGGAACUCCAAAAUAGUGCAAUUUUAGGCUUCAUCAGUAGUACUAUAAUGUUUAGAAAAGGAGAUAAUUUUCAUUUGUUCUUACAAGGUUGUUUUGGAGGCGUCUAUGUGCCAGGUACUAGGCUAAACAAUGGAGAUGCUCUCCGCAUUGUACUGUUGCUGUGUCCUCACUUAAAAAAAGUUAGGUUCAGUCGGAGUUCCCGUCGUGGCGCAGUGGUUAACGAAUCCGACUAGGAACCAUGAGGUUGCGGGUUCGACCCCUGCCCUUGCUCAGUGGGUUAAGGAUCCGGCGUUGCCGUGAGCUGUGGUGUAGGUUGCAGAUGCAGCUUGGAUCUGGCAUUGCUGUGGCUGUGGUGUAGGCCAGCGGCUAUAGCUUCGAUUUGACCCCUGGCCUGGGAACCUCCAUAUGCUGCAGGAGUGGCCCAAGAAAUGGCAAAAAAAGACCAAAAAAAAAAAAAAAGUUAGGUUCAUAAAACUUGGAUUAAAAAUGACAUUUAUAGCAAAGACCUAUACUUUAAACUCAAUAAAAUCUUGGUACAACAUAUUUUUCUGCAUUAUUGUAUCUAAUCAUGCAGAUUUACUAGCAAAAAUGCAUUUUAAAAUGUUUAUCUAUAUAAUGAAAUAUGAUUUUAAACCAUCUGAUUUUCAAAAUGUUCAACCAUCACUAUUAGCAAAAUUAAAAUAAUUAUUUAAAAUUUUUCCUUAUAUUUCUCCUAAAUAUCUCUUACUGUGAACUAUAAUCAUUUAUAUAAUUUUUAUUCUAUUAUUUUAACUAACCUUUUAAUCUAUUACAAUUUUAAGCUUCAAUAAUAGUAGUAAAGGAGGUGUUUUUAAAUAAAAAUAAUUUUUAAGCAAAUGACUACAUAGGUGACACUCACAAUUAUCUCAACAUUUUCCCACAGUCUCGGAUGCCUGUAUCAUUAUUAUAUUUGAGAUAUGCACAUCUCCCUAAAAUCCCAAUUGGUACUUAAGUAGGCAGAUGCUAUUUGCGUUAAAAGUUUUAUGACAAAGAAGUAGUUAAUCCUCUCCUUCUGUAAAGCAAACAUGAAAGACGAUGGGAAACCAUGAGCAAUGAUUGGUGAAUCUAUCAGGUCAAACUCAGGUGCAGAGGAAGGGACAGUAGUUCUUGUCAAGUUUGAUCACUCCACUCCACUCCCCAUCAUUCCAUUCCACUUCACUUCAUUUUACCUGCUGAGUUACCCAUUAUCCUUUUAGCCUAUCUGGUCUGCAGAUCAGACCAGGGGCAUAUCAGUGAUGGUGGAAUCUUCCUCCUCCUCAACUUCAAAGCUUUUUGUUCCAAGUCUUUAAUUAAUACAAUGCCCCUCUGAAAAGCUUGGGAUGAUACUUGGCUGUGCUUCCAAGCAAUGCUGGCACAAGAAGAAAUUCUCCCAUGCUGUCUCAGACCAUUUUUGCCUAAACAUGCAACAGGCAAUUCCUACCCACCCCACACCACACCAAGUUGGAUAAAGGGGUCUUCCAGCCUUGCUGUCUCCUAGGGCUUUACUUGAACUAGGGUUCAGAACCCCCACUGUUCUAAUUAGGGUUUCUAUUGUCCUUCUCUUCCCUGGUCCUUGGCCUCAGACAUCAGCCAAGGCACAUAGCCUAUUCUCUGGGAAUCCCACCAAUACCCAACCCUUGUGUAUCUGCCCACUGGCUUUCCCAGUCCGGCAAACUUGAAGAUUAUCUCCAAAGACAAGAAACAGUGGUUCUGCCUGACUUCGCAGCUUGCAGCUAAGUCCUAACUUCUCUGUUCUGUCUUCUGCGUAAAUGAAUGGGCCCACCUGGAGAUUACAGAUGCCUCUUGCCAUUGCUAUUUAAGAGGGUGGUGAGGAGAGAAGACAAGGGGUGAAAACGUGGUUCUUGAAAGAUGUGGAGGUGGAUAGAAGUGCAGUCUUAGUCUCAAACUCAAAUAGACAAGGAAAAGGACAAAUAUGAGAAUCAAUAUUUGGAGGAGAAGCUCUUAAAUUGUGUGGAAUUACUGAAAUUUGAUGAGUUAUGACAUGAAAAUGACUCUACUUGAAAGAGAAAGAGAAGAGAAUUAGAGAGUUAAACCCAGGCUAAAAUAGGACCUUAUCAACUCAAGCAAGAGAGAGAAAAGUGUUAGUUAAUUAACUAGUUUUUAAAUGUGUGUAUAAUUUUACUAAUUGUAUUUUUUUUUCUUGAUAUGAAGUAAAUUUUAAGGUUUUUAAAUGCUACGAGGAAAACGGCAUGUGCUGGGACAGAAAAUUCACUCAUUUUUGUAGCCUCUUCUCUUGCUGGUGACACAGUAGUUACAAAGUUUAACUCAGGAAAAAGUGAAAAACAAAACAACGACAACAGAGAACUUGUCCUCAACAUCCUUUCCCUUCUCAUUGAAGACUUUCAAUCCUAAAGAUCAGAAGCUACCAAAUAUUAUGGGGUGGGGCGUUCUCUUUCCCUCUCUUUUUCUUAAAUUUAUGUUUUCGUACUGUUACUAGAGGAAUACUUGUGUUCUGGCUAGCUGGUUGUAUUUGUGAAAGCUCCGGAUAAAUUUUAUUCUACAGAAUAGCAGGAAAAGAAUCGAGGCACCUGUCCCUAAAAGCAUUAAAGUAUCCUGGAGUAAGUCCACAAUCUGCUUAGUCCUGGGAAAAUAUAAUGCUGUGAUUCCAUAAAGAGAACAACCUAAAACUGGCACCCUGGGGAUGGUUGCCUCAGCCAUACAGGCUGACUCCAGACGAUACUGGGGUCAGGAGAAGGGUGCCAGCUACUGAUCCCAGGGAGCAGCAAAGUAGCAUACUGACGUCUUUACCCACGUAAUCUAUUUUGGCAUUCGAAAGCUUAUUCAACCUGUCUUU
rnacentral:lncRNA from 1 species